rnacentral:rRNA from 1 species
UACGUAGGGGGCUAGCGUUGUCCGGAAUUAUUGGGCGUAAAGAGCGUGUAGGCGGCCAGAUAAGUCCGCUGUGAAAUCUCGAGGCUCAACUUCGAGCUGUCGGUGGAAACUAUCUGGCUAGAGUCCGGAAGAGGAGAAUGGAAUUCCUGGUGUAGCGGUGAAAUGCGCAGAUAUCAGGAAGAACACCCGUGGCGAAGGCGGUUCUCUGGGACGGUACUGACGCUGAGACGCGAAAGCGUGGGGAGCGAACAGG